UUGUUUUCGGUUUUUGCUGUACCCAGUGUGGGUUCAACUGGAAGGUAUAAACCAGCCAGAAGUGAACCCUCCUGGGGGACAAUUAUCUGUAUCAGUUUAGUUUAUAUUUACAUGAUUUUGACGAAAGGAUAAAUUUCAUAACCUGUUUGCAAGUGUACGUUGCAUUUGUUGGCCACACUGGAGUAUACGUCAAAAUAUAAGUACGCUAUACCAAGAUAUCUUCAACGUAAUAUGUAAUUAGCGUCCGCAUCGUGAUACUGGCAAGACUUAAAAACUUCCAAUAUAUUACGCUAAACGUCACAAUAUGUCAGUAAGAAAUUUACUUCUUAUAUGAUUAGAAUACAUACAAAAUUUCUGCACACUUCUACCGUUUGCUGAUAAUACUGCUUUACUCUUUAACCGAUAUUCACUAGAUGUUGAUGUAGGAUAAGAAAACAAUCGAAUUUUCCAGCCAUUCCAUGUGUCAGUAAUGCAGUACAAUCCGAAUUGUUUGGAAUCACAAGAAGUACAGAUUUAAAUUGGAUUGAUCGCGUAGACAAUCUCAGCAAGAAACAAAACCAGUCACUUGGCAGUGGAACAGAUCAUUCCCUUUAAUGUCCAGAAACAGCAAUAAAAUUAAUAUUUACUCUUUGAGUCCCGGUUGUGAUGUAGUCUAGCUACAUUGGGCGGAACUUCUGCAACAAAUCUUCAUCGGUCUCAUUAUACAAAAAAAGUCAUAGAAAACUAACAGGCCUCCAACUUGAUGAAAGCUGCAGAGAAACCUUUAAGUCCUUGGGGAUUCUCAAUGUCAUUUCACUUUACAUCACUACAUGAGGAUCUUCAAAGGAACAGUGAUGUACGUCACUACAAUACAAGAAAUUUGUAAUGUCACAAUGAAAUGAUACUUCACAACCAACAGUCCAAAAGAGGAAAGGGACUGAAGACAAUUUUCCAUGAUCGUUUCUAGACAGACUAAUAUUAAAGUCUAUUUAAUAAAUAAAAAAUGUAUCAAUUAAUUAAUUAUAAAAUGCUGUUUCUUUCAUAUGGGACCAUAUGGCAAAUUUUCUACACUCAUUUUACCAUUGAUUGGUCCAUUCAUUAACAGAUUUAAUAAGUGAAGAACAACCUGUCUUUUAUUUAAUUUUUCACUUUUUUGCUACGUUGAGCAGUUUAACAUUGUGGACUACAGAAAAACGUCAAGUAAACACAAACAGGUUAUUACAAAUAACUUAAAAUAGGCUAACACUUUUGUAAAAUAAGCAAACAAAAGUCAUAUGAUACAUAUUGAAAGAAAUUUGUCAAUGGGACAUAUUUUUGCGGCAGGAGGCGUUUGCAUAAAAGGGCUAAUGUUACUUUAAAGUAUUCAAAUUUUACAAUUAUAGUUUAUUUUGUAAACUAGUCUUCUGAUUGGAGGAUAAUGUUAGUUGCGUCACUAAUUAUGUUUUCUACAUAUAAAAUGUUAUAUCAAGUUACAUUAUGUCAAGUAAUCUAAAUUGCUAUCUUUCCUUUCCACUUGAAUGUGACACUCUGGCGAUUGUGUAUCAUCGGCUAUUUAAUGUCAAUAUUGCUUUAUUAUAGCAUAACGUUUCAAUCUAGUUACCAAGCAGACUGUGCCAAAGCUGUUUUAAUCUUGAUAUUUGAAAAAUUGGCAAAGAAUAUUAUCCAGGCUGUGAAGUUACUCAAAGUUUUUGAUACAACACGGAGCACUGCUGGCGACACUGACUUUGUCGUUUUAAUGAAUUGUGAAUGCUGUGUCGUGUUUAUAUUGAAGAUUAGUUUUAGUGCUUUAUUUCUUUUUUAUAAUAUGAGUUCAUUUUCAAUUAUUGAUCCUGAAAAAUCAUACUAAUCUAUGUCUGCUUUUAAAUAGAGUACAGUAGUAGGCUAUGUUUAGUGUAGCUUUUACUAAAGAAUGUCCUGGGAUCUCAUGGUAGCCAAUAUUUUAUCCCUUGAGCUUGCUUUUUAUAUAUUUUAUUGAAAAUUAAAAACCCAACAUACAAUUUCAAAAAAUCUUAAGUGCUUGAUUAAAAAAAAUGUGUUUUUUUUCAUAUUGUAGUUCAAGCUAACAAAAAUGUAAUUGUUUUAUUGUAGUUUUUUUAUUUUCUAGUAACUGAAGCUCAGUGUAAUGCCUCACCAGAUUUGAAGGAAAACAUAAUUAUUAUGCAGUAAGCCUAAUAAAUGCAUAACAAUAUUUUGUUUAAAAGCCAUGGAUUUUCAUUAAAAAUAAAUUAGUUACAAGGAAACAACAGGGUACAGGAAAUUCAAGUGGAAAGGAAUAAUAACGUUAGUGAAAAUAGUUAGAGCAUGGUAUAUCAGCUCCAGUAGCCUAUUUGAUGAAUACUCGUACGUUUUUUGUUUUGUAAUUACAUGACAACAAUAGUGUUUUUUUUUAAUAGGUAUUUGCUAUUAUUCAUAGUUUAUUAUUUUGUAAGUGGUUGUAGUUUUCUUUAAUACUCGAGUCUUUCUUGAAUAUUUCGAAAAUAAAGAUUCCAUUACUUAAGAGUUUGAAAUGUUUUUUUUUCUUAAAAAAUCAGUUAUGCUUGAUCUUAAGAUCAAUAGACAUUGUGCUUAUUAUUGGAAGAUAUAGUUUAGUGCUUUAUCCUAGUGUUGUUUCCCAUAACUGAUGUAUUGAAUUUAAGUGCUUAUUUUUUUUAGAAGUACCUAAUAUAAGUAUUGAGUUCAGAUAAUAUUAAUUAUGGCCUAACGGGUUUACUUUAUAACGUUUUAACUAAAAUUAUAAGGAGUGGUCUUAUACUACAGGAACUGAUUCAAUGUAAAAACCGCACCUCCAGUGACUUUGUUGAGAGUUAAAAAUAAAAAUUACUAAUAAAAAAACUACUUUGAAAAUGCAAUCACAUAUAUUGAUAGUUAUAUUAACAUAUAGAUAGUAGAAUUGAAACAAAUUCCAGUCCAAGAGGAUGAAAACAGUGUUUAACAUUCGAGAACCUCCUGCAUUUCAGAGAAAUGUUACAAAACAUAACACAUACAUCUUUUGUAUUGCAGGAGUCUUUUUUGAAGGAACUCAUUUGUAAUCAGAAACAUGUAUAGUGGAUUUAACAUUUAAUUGUUCAAUGUAAUUUAACCCUUGCAGUGCCGGAUAUUCAGUUAGACUAUGAAAAAUAUAGGAAAACUUAAAUAGUAUGCAAGGGGUUAAUUUGGAUGAAAAUAUUGGUAAGGAUAUAUAAAACUAAGUAAAAAAGGAAAUGAGGUAAUAACCUAAAAAUACGAAGACGGAGUAAUGAAACUUCCUCAACUAUUCAAUUACACUUCAUAAAUUGUAUAUGUGUUAUUUUUUAACAACUUUUUAAAAAUAAUGGGUUGAUAAAAUUCUUUGCUACAAUAAGAUGACCUUAAGUUUAUAUUGAGAUUAUUAUUAUGUCUAAAAUAUCAUUGUCCCAUUACUUUUUAUAUAUGAAGCCCAGUUUGCAUAACUUGCAUAGGUUAUAAUAAAAAUCUAUUUUAAGAAGUGUAAAAGUGGAAUGUUUCACCACUAGUUUCAAACCGUAUCAGUUUAACCCAGUAUUCUUUACGAAAGCAAUUAAUACGAUGAUUCUGGGGAACUAGACUAAGUAUUAAAUUCAAUUAAUUAUAUUAAUGUUAUAACUAGUAAAGCUUUAUUUAAAUAUUUAUUUACUGUUUAUUAAUUUAUAGUAUUAAUUAUUAUUGAACAAAGCAAACAAACCUCAGUGAAAGUAAUUUAUUGAGCAGAAAUGUCUGAAAACAAAUAACCGUACGAUUACCGUUACUAGAGAUUUUGAAAAAAUUACAUCACAGUAGAAUAAGUUUUACGUACGUAAUCGUUUUGUACCAGUUUGUGAACACCUUGUAACAAGUAGGAUUUGAUAACACCAAAUAAGUACAGGUUUGAUGUGAGUAUAAUAUAGAUACAUUGCUUUUUUACCGUUAAAAUACUCAAAACCGUUGUCAUUUGAAAUUCAACAUGUGGUUUUAUGAUGGUUAUCAGGGUGAUACAGGACAGGGAUAUGGUUGUAGAAGUAGGACGAAAACUUUAAUAAAAUUAAUUUUUUUUAAAUUUUCUAUGAAAAAUUGUGAAUUUUAUCAACACUAACAGUAUUGAAGUUGAAAAAUGAAUAUGUAAAUGAUCAGUUAUAGUAAUAAAAUUGUUUAAAAGUUGUGGAACAUGACAAAAAAAUUAACAGCUACAUGAUCUAAAAUAUACUGUAUCCUUCCAACAUGGCCGACUGAAUUAGUGCUGGCGGCCAUCUUGAUUUUAUCCCCAUAAAAACAAUGUCAAACUUCAAACUCUUUUACAUAUUUAUUUAGCCGUAGAAUCAUGGGAGGUGACUAUAAUUAGGCAGAAAAAUCUUAAAUCUUUUUUAUACUUCAUCAUUUAAAUAUUAAAGAAGUAAACACCUUACAAAAGAAUCUAAGAAGUGUUCGGAUGCUUAUUAAUUAUAUCUGUAAAAUUAGAUUUUUUUUGCAUAAUUUUAUGGCCAAAACUAAGGUUUUAAAAGCGUUUGAAGGUUAAAAUUGUUCUUAAAAGGUAAAACUACUGUCAUUUCACUUCAGAUGGCUUAAUUCAGUGUUCUUAAAUCUCACUAAUUUAGUGUUAAUUAUGAAUGUGCGAGCCUAGAUUAUAUUUAGUAUAAAUAUAAAACAAUGUUAACACUUUGAGUGCGGCUUCCGUAGUUUUCCAGAACAGCAAAACUAUGGAAGUACACAAAUUCUAUAGUUUUAUAUAGUUGACGAUUUAAACUCAAUUAUAUUGCGUAAUCCGUAUUUAUUUUACGGGUUCAGCUUGUCCAUUGGGAUGUUAGUUACAAAAUUAUCGACUAGAAUUCGCACAAUGUACUGAAUCAACCUAUUGAUAAAGCAAAAGCUGUUCAAUUGUUUUGAAAAAUCCCACCGCGUAAAAGAAACGUUUUAAAAUGUGCUAUACUAAAAAUUAUACAUUUGUACGUAAUCAUCAAUGGAUAGAUGCUAUGCCAAAUAAGAAAUUGUAAAAUGGAUGUAAAUAUGUUUAGAUUAUUUUGUAAUCUGUGUAAACGUUUUUUCUUCUAUAGUUGUAAAAACAUUUUUUAAUAAUUUAAUUAUCAACUAAACAUAACAAACAAAGGAAAUGUCAGCAUUUUUUUUUUAUACAGUAUAUUUCUUGAAUUACGGUUUUUUCAAUUAUUUUAAAAAUCCAGCAUUCUCUGAAUAGGGAUAAUUUAAGGUCUGCACUCAAAGUGUUGAAGUAUAUUUUAACAGAACCAUGGUAGUCUGUAAGAAAAUAUCUUGCAGAAUCUGCCACAACGUCUUACGUACUGUUUCAUCAUAAAAAUGGGAAAUAUUUAUUUGGAGUAAUCUUUGUCAACAGUGGAAUGACAUAUUCUUUAAGCCUAUAAGGAGACAGGAUACGCUUACAAAAUGGAUAUUAAUUACUGUAGAAUAUGAUUACUGGUUGUGGUACGACAAAUGUAGACAUCAAGAUGUCUGUUGUUAUCUCAAAUAUAAAAUGUGUCAAGUGAAAAAAAAAACUGUAUUGUAUAAUAGAAUUACAGAAUCGUUCAAUUUGUUUCAUCAUUUUUAUAAAGGUUCUGUUGUAUAUAGGUCUAAUAUUAUCUUUAUUUUUAUAUUUCUUAAAACUUACAUUAUUUGGAAUAUUUAAAAUAUUUCAGGGGGAAAAAUAAUUUAUCCUUCACACCCUGUUCGAGUCCUUCGCUUAACGUUUGUACUGAAUAAAUAUGAACUUAACCAGUGCUUUGAAAAUACUUACAAUCGUUGUGAAUUUUGGAUAAAAUGAGACAGUUUUAUCAUACACACUUUUUUGUAUGAUAAGUUUUCCAAGAAAAAUUCCAAAUUUUGUGAUCUCAUGUGAUAGUAUAUCUGUUAGAUUAGAGUUUUACUGAAAAUCAAAAUUUUCUAUCAUAGUUGUUGUACGUAGAUUUUACGAAAAAUUUUGGAAUCCCCGUCAGUUAUUGUUUACAAUUAAUAUUUUUCUAUCCUGUGAUGAGUAGCUGUCUAGAUGUUGUCAAGUUCGUGGUAAAAGUUUAUAUGUAAACGUUUUUAUUCUGCACUAAACCUUACAAGCACUAAAAGUAAUUCUUGGAAUUUUAAUGUGUAAAUUUGUAGUCAUGGUUCUUUUACUUGUUCUAAACUCUUAGUUGUGAUUGUCAAGAAACAGCUUUAUUAGGAGUGUGGAUUUUUUGUUGUCAUGUGGCACAGAAAACAAUAAACCUAAGCAGACAGUAACAUUACUAUUUUUUAGUUUUUGUUUGUUUUUUUAUAACUUUUUUGUAAACUUCAAAAUAAUGAAAACUUAUUUUCUAAAUAAUAUUUGUUGUAUUUAAAUUUCUGAAAUUUUAAUCUGAUUGUACAAGUGGUAAAACCCAAUUCCAUUGCAGUUGACAUAAGGUGAUUUAAUUCUGUGUGAAAAGGCUCAAUUGCCAACCGUAUGGUAUCUAACCAAUUUUAUUAGUUGCAAAACCAAAAAUAAAUGUACAAUUAUUCAGUUUUUUAAACAAAAUCUCUUGUUCUGAUACAAGAUUUUGUGUUGAAUGAAUAUAAAACAUACUUAAAUCUAACAAAUAAAACAAAUCUGAAUUUUUCUUCAAAACAUAAUAAGAUACUAUAAGAUUACUAUAUAAUAAAGAACACUAUCCAGAGAUUGACUACUGUAGUCUUCCUGUGACAGAAUUCUCCAAACAGGAUACCCCACUACAAACAGCUUGCAGGAAAGUUGGUUGAUUACUACUGAAAACCAGCUGUUGUCAUUAUCUAACAGUCCCGGUGCUGGGCUAUGCUGGUAUCCAUGGACACUGACAAGCUAUUAAGUAAACAUCAUUGACACUAUCUCAUUUGUCAAGUUGGUGGGCUAUACAUUGACUGUAGAUAAAAUCAAUAAUCAGCAUUGACCUUCAAAGAUAAUACUACAGGGUCUAUAUGUUUGUAUGUAUUUUUUUUUUAGAUCAAACUUUCUUGUUCAGUGUCUAUCUGUUUGUAUGUUGUUUAUCAGACUUUCUCGUAUUUUAUCUGUAAACAAAUUUUAAAUAUUUUCAAAACAUUCUAUUUGUUUAUUUGCUUUUCUCCAGUUGUUAAAAAAUAAAAAAUAUUAAUUAAUAUCAAUGAAUAAUAUAAAAAUAUUGGAAACUAUCCUGGCUGUGUACUACGAUUAACAGUUUCUACAGAGUUUUUAGCCAUUGCUUUUGAUUUUAUUUGUUAGUUAUAGGCUAAUACUCGCUUACAAUCAAAUCAACUUUUAUAAAUUGACAAUAUUCAAACUCUGGCCAAAGAAGCAAUACAAAUAUUUGAAAACCACUGAUAAAUUUUACAUGCUAGUGACCAUGCCUGGGAAUCAGAUACAGUUCUCAAUAGGAAACUCCACAAACUAGGAAAUACACUAUUAGGAAAUAGGAGAACACUGUUUAACAGAUUUUUUUUUUAAAUUCAUACUGUUCCUGACCAUGUCUAGACACCCCUGUGGAAUUUGCAACAUUGGAGUAAAAUACCAGGCUAUAUGCUGCACUGGACCCUGCAAUAUGUGGUAUCAUUCCAGGUGCUUACCCUGGUCUGACAAAAAAUUUAAAAAAAAAAACUUACUUCAGAAGAAAUUUUGUCAUGGGUAUUUGAUAGGUGUAAAGAAGGCCUGGAAACCACUUAAACAGGUAUUGGCAAUCUUGAAACCAAAAUACAAAACCUCUCACUGUCUGAUAGCUUGGACCAGGAAACAUCCCUAAUCCUAGCAGCAGAAGUUGGAAAUGCACUGCUUAGUGAGAAUUUACAACUCAAAGAGAAACUCCAUAUGGAAAAAGUUAAAAAAUCUGAAUACCAUCUAGAACUAGAAGACAAAAUAGUAGCGAAAGAAGAACUUAUCAAGGCCCUUACAGUUGAAAAUAAUGAACUUCAAGUUGAACUCAGUCAUUUGAAGAAUAAAUUGGACACCGAACACAAGCUCAAAAAUGAUUUGAUUGAGCAAGCUGAAUCUGAAAAAUCCCAAUUCUCAAAGCAGGUGAAUGAUCUCUUAUCAUGCAAUUCAACUCUUAGAGAAAAAUUAAACAAAUUGAAGGGCAAAUAAAAUUGAAAACACAAAACUUUGACUCUCUAAAUAAACAAAAUGAUAUGAUGUUAGGUAGCAUGAAAACCAUUGAGGAAGAAGUAAAAAUAAAAAACUAUUUGGUAAACCAAAUGACCUCAAAUUGUGAAAAACUGUCUGAUAAACUGAGUGAGCAAGCAAGAACGGCAAGAGAACACCUUGAGGCUCUCUUUAAAGCCUCUAAGCCAAUCCUUAAUGCUGUGAGCUCAUACAAGGCAGAAAAUGACUUUGCAUACAAUACCGUUCUGUCAGACACACUGACGUUUUGUCUGACCGGGAGAAACAGCCAAACUCCGACACAAAAACUGAGCCUUGAGUCAACCGGGAGAACCAGCCAAACUCCGACAAAAAAAACUGAGUCUUGAAUCAACUGGGAGAAACAGCCAAACUCCGACACAAAAACUGAGCCUUGAGCCAACCGGGAGAACCAGCCAAACUCCGACAAAAACAACUGAGUCUUGAAUCAACUGGGAGAAACAGUAAAACUCCGACACAAAAACUGAGCCUUGAGCCAACCGGGAGAAUCAGCCAAACUCCGACAAAAAAACUGAAUCAUAACCUGACCAACAGUAGAUACAGAAAAUCUUACAAAAAUUUCUCCUCUAAGAGGAGUGAGAGAACAAAUUUUUUCAGUGUAUCCCUCCAAGUUUCAAAAAUAGCAGCAAAGUCCAAUUCUAAUCUUGCAGAAGCGGGCCAUAAGAAUCAUGGCCGACCUCUCUUCCCGAGACAGCUGCAGAGAAUCUUUUACUGAACUCGACAUUCUCACUGUGACUUCAAUCUACAUCAUCGAAGUCAUCAUAUAUGCUUCCAAGCAAAACUUCCCGAGAAACAGUGAGGUGCACAACUACUACACUAGACAGGCUCAAGCUCACCGUCUACCAGCUCAUAGAACAACGCUCUUCACCAAAAAACCAUCAUUUGCUGGAAUCAAGCUUCUGAACUCCCUUCCUGAUGCCAUCAAGACCGGCAACGCUAAAACUCUAAAAAGAAGACUACACAAGUGGCUGGUGAAGAACUCUAUCUACAGUCUCGAUGAGUUUUAUGACAUUCUCAACUCCUGACUUGUAAUGUUUUUGUUGUUAAUUUUUGUUCUUUCCUUUCAAUGUUAUGUUUCAUAACUUAUUAUUUUUAUUAUUGAUUGACAACUAUUCUGUUCUUGAUGAUCAUGAAUAAAGCUUUCUGUAUUCUGUAUUCUGUAUUUGAGAGAACAUACUUUGUCUGCCAAAUCAGAUGUAAACCAGAUACUCAAGGGGAAAACUACAAAAACCACCCAUGUAUGCAAAAGAAAAGCCACAAAAUCAAAGUGUAGAAGAAUUUUUUACUGAAAACAUUGAAUAUUACCCCAAAAUUAUAACCAAAAAACAGGACCACGCAGCUAUGCAUCAGCCGCUAUCACCGCGGAUCCCAUCCCUUUUGAAAACUCCACAGCAAGAGAUCCCACGGGCAAGGAGAUACUUCUGACUCACACCGGACUGUAUCCCCACAACUACUACAAGAAUCAGGGAAACAGAUCUUAACACAGGCCGACAUUCACCACUCUGAUUCUUUUUUAGACCACAUAAACCUGAUAAACAGCAAGAUAAAAACUCCCUCAUAACUCAAGAAUAUACUCUCAUUAGGCCCAAAGCGAACAUAACUAUUGGUCACCAAAAUGUUAACUGGCUAACCAACAAACUGGAUAGAGUGACACACUAUUUAAAUGAAGAAAACCCAGACUUAUUUAUUGUCACAGAACAUGGUCUCAACCAGGAAAACCUGCAAAACACCAGGAUAACAAACUACUCCUUAGUUGGCGGUUUCUGUAGACAACUUCAUACAAAGGGAGGUGUAGCUGCAUUUGCUAAGAGUGGUAUGGAAAAUUGUGUCAGGCUAUUAAAAACGAGCAGCCCAGAUUCUGAACUCAUAUGUGAGUCAGCAUUAUAUGAAAUUCGAAGGAAGAAAGGGCCACUUCUAGUAUUAGGAGUUUACCGACAACCUAGUUCAAAUCUUGAUGCAGCACUGAACCAACUCUCAAGUAUGAUAAAUGAUGGCCUAACCACAGAGAAACCAAUGGUGAUAGUGGGAGACAUAAAUGUAGACAUCCAGGAAGAAAAUAAUUAUAGUAAAAAGAUCACAGAGCUGUUAGCAUGCUACAACAUUACCAGACAUAAACCUCCGGCAACAAGAACAACACCAACCUCAUCAACAUCAAUAGACUGGGUAUGUACUAAUCUGCAGCAAAAUGAAAUUAUUACUAAGGUAGUUCAAACAGGCCUCUCAGACCAUACGGCUCAAAUAAUAACCCUAAUUUCCCAAAACAUCUCUAAGCCAACACCCAAAGAAAAAAGAGAGUUUUUAGUGAACAAUCUGUACACCAACUCAAAUUACUCUUAAGCAAUGAAGACUGGACAGAAAUUCAAACAAUACAUAAUGUUGACACAGCCUAUGACUCUUUUUGUAAUGUACUUCAAUGUUCUCUAGAUAUUGCCUGUCCAUAUGUCACUUCAAACAAAAAACGUAAACCAACAAAGUACGUCUGGGAUGAGGAAAGCAAGCUGUUAAGGAGAAUAUAUAUAGAAGCAAAUUAACAGUACCUGCGCUCUGGGCUACCAGAAGACAAAGCAGAAGUAGCAAGAAAGAAAAAGGACUAUGACCUAAAGCUCAAAAAACUUCGUAAAGACCAAAAUGCAGCUUUCAUUGACCAAGCGGGCAACAAAUCAAAAUCAUUAUGGCAGGUCAUAAACCAAGAAAGAAAGGAAAAAAAUGGAAAACUAACCGAAAUGGUGAAUGGUAGGGAUGUGAGAGAACCAAAAGAUAUUGCAAAUAACUUCAAUCAGUUUUUUUCAAACACUGCAGAAAGAACAUUGAAUGAAAAUAACCAAAAACAACCCUACCUCAAAUUUCCACAUUUUAAAACCAAACAUCCUUGAAACACUCUCAGUGUAUCCUGCUACUCCUGAAGAAGUCGAGAAAACUAUAGAUUCCCUCAAACCAAAAACAUCAACUGGAAUUGAUUAAAUUUCAGCCAAACUGGCCAAGAGCUGUAAAGAAGAGGUAGCCAUUCCAUUGACAACCAUAAUAAAAAAAUCAUUUCAACAGGGUAUCUUUCCAUAAAAAUUAAAAAUUGCAAAAGUCUACCCGAAGUUCAAAAAUGGGCCAACCACAGAGAUUAACAGCUACCGCCCCAUUUCUCUACUACCGACCUUCUCAAAAAUUAUUGAAAAAAAUCGCUUUAACUAGAUUACUACUACACCUGGAACAAAACAAUCUACUAACUAAUUACUAACAUGGCUAUUUGAAAGGCAGAUCAACUACUACAGCGCUAAUAUAGCUGAUUGAAAAUAUAAUUGACAAACUGGAAGAGGGCUAUAAGGUGACAAGCCUAUAUCUGGAUUUCAGCAAGGCUUUUGACUGCUUAAAUCAUAACUGCUUACUUGAUAAGUUAAAUGCUCUUGGAGUCACGGAAACAGCACUAGCCUGGUUUGACAGCUAUUUAAGGAGCAGACAACAGAUGGUGGAAGUUGAAUGCCUCUCUAAUAAUACUCUGAAGAAAGCUCAAUCAACUCUAACCCCAAUGCAGAGAGGUGUGCCUCAGGGAUCAGUGUUGGGCCCGGUCCUAUUCCUGCUACUAACAAACGACCUACCAGACCAACUUAAAGAUGCUUGCCAGACUGUUACGUUUGCAGACGACACUGUCUUUACAGUAGCAGAAAAAUCAAAUGAACAACUUGACAUCAACGCCUACAUAGCCUUUAAUAUGACAAAACAAUAUUGCUACUCAAAUGACCUUGUGAUGAACGAGAAAAAGACUCUGCAGAUGAUCUAUAACAUUCGGAAAAAGGAAAUCGAGGCUGGACUAUCUGAACUGAAGAGAGAAGAAAACACAAAGUAUCUCGGAAUAGUGAUCUGGUGAUAGAGACGAGAAUCUGACCUGGCGAACUCAUAUUGACCAACUCUGUAAAAAACUCAGCUCAGGAACAUAUGUAAUCAGACGAACCGAACAAACAAGUGGGAUAAAAACAUCCAAAAUUGCAUAUUUUGCACUUUUUGAAUCCCAUCUAAGGUAUGGCCUGGCAAUAUGGGGUGAAACAACAAGCUCAAAUCUGGAAAGAGUGCUUAUACAGCAAAAACGAGCGAUUAUGAGUCUUGCAGGGUUAAACUACCAAGAUAGCUGUCGAGAAUCUUUCAAAGAACUUAAAAUAUUAACUGUAGUAGCACUGUACAUAAGAGAAAUCAUCUUGUAUGCAGUAAAAACCAACCAAGACAGACACAGAGACCUACAUCAACAUAACACCAGAAACGCAAUAGAUUUCUCACUCCCAACUCACCAUUUGAGUCUUGGGAGGAAGCCUAGACUAUGAAAGGAAGCCUAGGUAUGAAAGGAAGCCUAGCUACAGAGGAGCCUUGUUCUACGUCAAUAUUCUACGAAAGUAACAAAUCACUGCUUAUUAAUCAAUCCUACACUGUCCAUUUCCUUGGCUACCUUUGAUCAGCGAGAUCCCAUCACACCCUGUUCUUCUGAUUUAUCUGGAGUCGAUACUGCAGCUCUGGGUUGGAUGAUUGGUGCCGGAUGGGACGAUGUAUUGGUGGACCCUUCUCUGUCAAUCUGGACAAAUCUGGUCUAAAGUCAUGAUUGAAUAGUCUGUUCAGUUUCUCAACUCCAUCCAUCCCUUGAUAAACCAACUUCUCAUUUUCCCAGGUAAACCUGCAUUUGUCUAUAAUGAGAUGAUCAUAAGAAAUAAUAUUCAUUCCUGUCUUACCCGAUAUUCUGUCGGCUUCAGCUCUAACUGCGAAUAGUCGAGCGCGCUUAUACCGCACUUCUGGUGGCAAGUCUUGAAAUACAACAUAUUCCGAGCCUCUCAGUUGGUGUCGUUUAGAUAGUAUUUCACGUAUAUCUCUCUCAGUUGGUGUCGUUUAGAUAGUAUUUCACGUAUAUCUCUCUCAGUUGGUGUCGUUUAGAUAGUAUUUCACGUAUAUCUUCGUCAUCGGGAAACUGUGCUAAAAUCAAUGAUUUGGUUUUGGUUAUUGGGUAAGCCCGGUUCACCCACAACUUGUUUGACAUGCCAAACAUUUCAUAGCAGAAGUUUAUUACAGCCUCUACGUAGUUAUUCUGAGAUGUAAAUUUUAAACCUUUAAAGAUGAGGUUAUUCCUAAGAGAGUUACUUUCUAAGCUUAAUACUCGUUUCUUCAGGGAAUUAACCUCCUGUUUUAAAGUAGCAUUUUCGUCUUGGAGGCCUGUGAUUUGAGUUGUUACAUUACCAAGGUCCGCCUUUGUCGCAAUAUUUGCUAAUUUUUCAUCAAUUAGUCCUCUUAUAUCGGACACUUGUAAAUGUUGCAAAGUUUCCAUAUUGACUAGUCCGUAGAGUAGACUGGAUUGCUGCUUGAUGAUCUCAAGUUAAACCCCACCAGCAGUGCCAACCUGGUUGUAACAACCGCAGAAACAGAAGUGACACUCUGACAGUGUUAACUGUGUAUAUGGAUGUUCUAAUAACUAUUUUGCUGUUACCUGUAAAUUGCAAAUUUGUCAAUUACGGAAUUUGAAUUGCACACAGGAGUUCAAAGCAUUUUUCAUGAUGAUUUAAACAUCAUGUGUAUACAUAUUUUUCACAUAGUUCCUAAAUGCUAUCUCACGAAAAAAAUUUUUAUUUAUUAUCUCCAGAUAAAUAAUUGACUGCAAAGAUUAAAAUGCGGAAUUUUUGAAACAAAAAAUAUGGCUGUUGAAGCAGAAUUCUUGAAAAGAUUUUCAUAAAUUAUUUGUCACAGUUCUGUGAAGUUGUAAUUUCAAUAUGUAAUGAAUAAACAUAGCUCUUUUGUCAGAAUCGACCUGCAGCUUUCAACAGCAUAAUAUAAAAAGCAACCUGUUUCUUUCCACAGUGAUAAAAAAACUGCUGUUAGAAGAGACAUUUUUCCUUUGAAAAUCCCUGUUUAAGAAUUCAAAACAACUAACAAUAUUCUUUUUUAUAUGUUUUUAAAGAACUGUGGUCAGAUUAAACAAAAUUAAUAUCUGACAAAAUAAGUGUCCGAAAUCAGUAAUAUAUAUAUAUAUAUAUAUAUAUAUAUAUAUAUAUAUAAAUAUUAUUUCUCUAAAGUUAUCUUGAUCCACUUCAUUACCAUUUUUCCUUUUAUUCCUUCACUGUACGAAAUAAAUUAGCCAAUAACAACAACUACACGAUUUUACAGUUCUUCUAUGAUCUAUAAAAAACUAUAGUAAUAUUAAAUUACAUGUUAUUAUUGUGUUAUGUUGCCCAUUAUCAUCUGUGGGGAUUUAGGUUUAUUUAUCGUAAUGCUGUUAUUGUGGCCUUACUUCACUGUCUUUCUUAUUGCGUUAUAAGACCUUAUAUAGCAGAUAAAAAGGUAGUUUUGAGCUAUGAUCAGAAAAAAAAUUAUAUGAAAACAUCAGUGAUGUGGGAUAUUCUUCGAGGUACGUUAAUUAAUAGAUCCAUGUGAAACACCUUUAAAACAGUCCAGAGGAUUGGAUCUUAUGUGAGAUUUUUAUUGUUUUGGAUGAUUUUAAUUUUUACAAGGAAGUAUCUGUAUUUAUGCAUUAUUUGUAAUUAAGUAAUUACCUCAUAUAAAACAAAAUUGUAAUUUAAAAUUUCAAAAUAUUUGAAAAUGUAUAUGAUAAUGAGAAGAUCACCCAAUAAGUUCUUAUAAAAGGCAAAACAAGUUAAUUUAGGUUAUUUUUAAUUUUUUAAACCUUCAGCUUUAAAAGAUUAACUUUUUGGAGCAAGCCGUUCAAAACAUAUGAUGUGGAAAGACUACAAAAGAGGCAUUUAUUUGCAUAACACUGCAGAAACUCAUUAGGGUUGCAAUUGAAAAGUGCAAAUACCUUGUUGCUAACCUCACAAUUGCAUUUAUUCUCUACUCAUACCAACAUGGCUAUUAUCUCUUGGCCAAGAAAAAAGAACUGACACCUUUUUCUGAGUUAGUAAAAAAAUCUAGCAGUGGUAUAUAACUGUUCGUAAGUAAUUUCUUUUAAAUUCUAUAUUUCGUAAAGCUGUUUCGUGACAAAAUGAUAAUCUAAAUCUUGCAUGUUUAUUAUAUUAUCCUUUUGUACUAUGUGACAAGAUUGUAGACUUAUUAUUCAGAGAUGAGAGGUGAGUUGUUAUCAUAUUACAAGUUGUUUUGUUAAUUUAUUGAGGUUAAUUGAACAGUACUGUAUUUGUUAUCGUACUAUAUAUUUUGACUAUUGGUUUUUUACUGUUAAAAAAAUAAAAUGAAUAUAAUUAAAAAUUGAAGAAUGUGUAAUGUUUGAUGUGUAAAACUUAAGAUGCUCAAAACAGAACGGAGAUUGAUUAUACAAUUUUUUACUCCAUGUUCAGUUGUAUAUAAGAUCAUUGAUAGUAGUUAUUGUAUUAAAAUAUUAUUCCUUUUUUUAAUUUACACUAGGAUGUUGAAAACUCAGUGAAAUAAUUUUAGACCUGGAUGAGAAGGUGUAACUUAUUUGAAAGAACGUUUAGAAUUUAGUAUUAAUUGUUUGAUCACAUCAUAUAAAUUGUAAUCUUCAGAUAUCUUCAGACAUAUAUGGUUAUCAGUAUUAAAAUAGUGUCCUUUUGAGGCUGUUUGUCUUUAUUUAUUAAGAUCUCCAAGUGUUCUUCAGCUAAAAUAAAGAAGUUUUGUUUUCA